GUUUAAGCGAACGAGGUUGAUUAUUGUCGCAGCGGAGGAGGUGUUGGGAAAGAAAGGAAAUUAAGUUAGGCAAGAAGGGAGAUAGCUGAUGUAGGUUGAUUGAUUGCACCGUCUUGGUACUUUUCCGCUGCGAGAACCUAGAAUUUGUUUUAGUAAGGACUAUGUCCCAGAAAUUACUCUGAUUCAGUAUGGUUGUACUCUCUUUCACUUUUACACAAUGUUUCUCUUGAAUUGAUUAUCCAUUUAUGAUGAGUUGAGACCAGCUAGUAAGUUUAGUCGCGAAAUAGCUACACUUUCUUUGACGAUGUGGUCGUGACAGAAGCUGAGUGAGCAAAUACAACAAUCUGUCAAAGAGCUUGAAAGGAAGCUGACAGAACAGGAAGAAAAUAAGGAUUUUCUCUCCAUAUGUCUAAAGGUUUAAGUUAAACGUGAAAAAGAACAGAGAGUGGAUAGAGGGAAUGAAAUAAGGAAGUUGACUGAUACGAAAGAAAGAGAUGCAAGAAAAUAAAGAAGAUAAAAAGCUAUUGGAGGAGACGAAAUCAACAACCUCCGAAAUUGUUACAAGGGAGGAAAGGAGUUAAAAUAGUAGAUGAAUGAGGCUGACACGGUGCUCGAGACGCAAGGGAAGAAGAGAAAACUGCCCAAUAUAGGACUUGCCCUACAUCCCAUGACGUGCAGAGGUGACCCCGUUUCAUUUCUUUUAUUCUUCUUUUUUGUCUGUUGGUUAGUGUUUUGAGUCUUCUUCCACACUAAGUCCCAACUUGCAAGUACGGCUUUUGUUUGUGUUUUUAUGUGUUUGUUUUAGUAGCAAGAUGAGCAUGACCUAGUGUACCUACACGAUUCCCUACCUUCAAAGAUGAUUAUUCGUGCUUUCGUAUGAUGAGUUCAGUUUUGAGAUGUGUGGAUUUCUAAGUAAAUCUUUAGGGAAUGUGGCUUUGUUGUUCGUUAUAUGUUGGAAGAUUGAUGUAAAACUGUUAUAGCAGUUGCAGUUGAGUUUUAAUUUUGCUAUUCUUUAAUGAGGAAAUGGGAAUUUAGGAGGUGUGGGCAGAUGUAUAGAUCUAGGGAGUCAGACUCUGGUGUUGAACUUACACCUGAAAAUUUUUAUGAAGACGGAGAUACAAUUCAACAGAGGAAUUUAUCUUUGAGGGUGGAGACUGCUCGUUGUUUUAUUAGUUUUCUCGACUGGGAAACUUCAGCUACUGAUUUGAGAAUCUGCUUACUGUGGAUUAUUUUAUUGUUCUCCAUUUUUCUAUAUUAUUAACUUCAAUGGUCCCAAAGGAAUGAGGGUGUUCAAUAUUUUUUCUACAAGACGAAAGAGAAAGUCAUCUUAUAAAUUUUCACUGUUUCACAUGAGUAAAUCUUAGGUAUUUUAUGCAUGUAGUUUACAUCCAGAGUUAUUCUCACUGCAGAUUCUGUCUGAAUUUUGAUUUUGAUAUCUUCUCAAGUUGUUGGGCUCAAGUGUCUAUUAAGGAUGAUGGGAUUCUUCAGUUAAGGUUUGAAGGAGUAUUUGGAAGUCUCUCAGGCGACUUUAGAGUACUUUAUGUGUACAAGUUGUUCUGCAAAGAUAAAAUAUUCUUGUAUGCUAGGAAUAAACUUGUGUGAAUAUUAGCCCUCAUAUAGUGUUGUGUGUUACUUAUAGUUGUUACCACUUGUUAGGAGAUUUCAGAAAAAAGCUAUAUGAACAAAAUAAGUUGCCAAGUAUGAGAAAGAUAUUUAAGAGAGAGACACGUAGAAGUUAAAGGCUGACGAAUGUUACCAACUAUGCGGCACGGAUACGGAUACGCGUAUCAGUAUCCGAAGGAUACGGAUACGCGGAUACGGCUCUUUCCCAAACAACCCGAUACGCGGAUACGUUUUAACUAUUUUUUUAAUAAAUAAUAAUAGUGCAUAAUAAAUUACAAAAUAGAUAUUCUAAUGUUAUUAUACAAAUAAAAAUAAUAAAAUUACAAAAUAUUAAAAGCUAAAGUCAAUUUCUUUUAUGGUCGAUUACACCACAUCGAUUUUUUGGUUAUACUUAUCCAUAUUACCAAUAAUAUUGAUCAAAAUAUUUAUUUAUAGUUACAAAAUUAGACAAAGUUAAUGGAGUAAUAAAUUGGCCCAAAAAAUGAGCCCCAAAUAUACUCCUUUUCCAUCGUGACUACUUCUUGCCCAAUUCAUUCUCCCAUUUCCAAUUUUCUUCAAUCCCUAGUUGAGGCAAUAGCGGCGCCUCCCCUUUCUUCUUCUUCUUCUUCUUCUUCUUCUUCUUCUUCAUAUCCGAUUAACUGUCAAUUUUGUUCCCAAAUCGGAUUGAAGUUCGUAAAUUGAAAGUUGCGAAGUUCUUCGACAGAGAUGGACGUUGAUUUCGAAGAGGAGAACCUCAGAUCUUUGCAGAUAGAGGAGGAUGAAGGCCCAAUACGGCCCAGCUCGCGGAUACGCCGAAGGAUACGUAUCGAAUCUGAGGUUUCCCGGCCCAAUACGGCCCAGCUCGCGGAUACGCCCAGGAUACGUAUCGACGGUGUAUCCGUUGCGUAUCGGUAUCGGAUACGUAUCCGAUACGUGAUACGGCAACAGGGUGGCGUAUCGGUGUUAUAUAGGUUACCAAUCGUGAAUGUCUUGGAGUAGUGCCAAUGAACAACUAAAAAAGGAUAGGAAGGACCUUGACAUUAAGACAUUCCAAACGUAUUCCCUAGGUAACAAUUGGUUGGAAUAAUUAUCAUGUUGUGAACUGUUAAUUUGUGGUGCCUAAGAUUAGCAAUCAAUUGCGUCAAAUUUUCUGUGGAGAAGCAAGCCGAGAAGCUCAGGGACCUUGCAAGCAGGUAUGAGCAUGACCGGAAAUCAUGCACUGACGCAAUCAUCAGCUUAGAUCAGAAAGUAAAGAUCAUUAAACAAGAGCAUUAGAGCUUUCUCAUGAAGCGUAUGAAGGUGCAGACUUAAUUCCCGACUUGAAUAAAAUGGUUUUUGUAGUUCAGGCACUUGUGUGAAUAUCUCAAAUUAAGUACGAUGAUGAGAAAAAGAAGAGGCGGAAGCUCCACAACCAGUUGCAUUGCAGGAGACCAAUGGGAAUAUCAGGGUAUUUUUCCAUUGCCGUCCCUUAAGCAAGUCUGAGGUCAUAGCUAGACGUGCAUCAGUGGUGCUGCUAUGGAUGUAGAUCUUGGAAAUGCGGUAAAAAGCUCCAACAAAAAGAGUUUCAAGUUUGAUUGUGUUUAAACUCCUAAAGAUGAUCAAGUUUUAGAUGGAUACAAUGUUUUGUAUAUUUUCCUAUGACAAACGGGAACAGGAAAGACAUUCACAAUGGAGGGGAAUGAGGUGAAUCGAGGAGUGAAUUACCGGACCCUGGAUGAAUUGUCUCUGACAAACGGGAACAGGAAAGACGUUCACAAUGGAGAGGAAUGAGGUGAAUCGAGGAGUGAAUUACUGGACCCUGGAUGAAUUGUUCAAUACUGCCAAUGAGAGGACCGAAACAAGAACUUACAACAUUUCAGUUAGUGUACUUGAAAUUUACAGUGAUCAGAUUAGGAAUUUGAUGGCUAUAGAAACAUCCAGGAAAUUGGAGAUAAACAAACUUCUGAAGGAUCUCAUCAUAUACCUGGUAUUGUUUAAGCCAAAGUGGAAAAUAUCCAACAAGUCUGAAAUAUUCUACAAGCAGGAAGUAGUGCUCGGGCUGUAGGAUCAAAUAUUGUGAACGAGUACAGCAGUUAGUCUCACUACAUGAUUUGUAUUAUGGUAAGGAGCAAAAAUCUAAUCAACGGAGAGUGCAUGAAAAACAAAUUUUGGCUUGUGGACUUAGCAGGAAGUGAGUGGCUUGGAGUAAUGCCAGUUAACAACUAAAAAAGGUCUGGAGAAGCAAACUGAGACCUUGCAAGCAAGUAUGAGUAUGACCGGAAAUCUUGCACUGACGCAAUCAUCAACUUAGAUCUGAAAGUAAAGAUCAUGAAACAAGAGCAUUCAGAGCUUUCUCGUGAAGCACAUGAAUGUGCAGACUCAAUUCCUGACAUGAAUAAAAACAAAUUUUGCUGUUCAAGCACUUGUGGAGUUGUGUGAUGAUCUCAAAUUAAGUACGAUGAUGAGAAAAUAAAGCGGGCGAAGGUCCACAACCAGUUGCAGGAGACCAAUGAUUAAUUUGUCCAAUGGUUAAUUUGUGAUACCUCAUAUCGUGUAUCUUACAUUUGAAUAUAUUUUCAUGUUUUAGGUGUCUAUCAGGGAAUAUCAGGGUAUUUUGCCGUUGCCGUCCCUUAAGCAAGUCUAAGGUCAUAACUGAAUGUGCAUGACUUCGACGCUGCUAAGGAUGGAGAUCUUGGAAUUGCGGUAAAUGGCUCCAACAAAAUGAGUUUCAUGCUUGAUCGUGUUUACACUCCCAAAGAUGAUCAAGGUAGGUGCUUCCUAAGUAUUAUAUUAUCUAUUAAUGUUUUGGAGGAAAAUAUCAUUCUAACACAACAUGUAGAUUCUUACGUUCUGUUUUCUACAUACAUAACUGAUGUGUUUGCCGAUCCUGCACCCGUUGUGUUUUCCAUUUUAGAUGGAUACAAUGUUUGUAUAUUUUUCUAUGGACAAACAAGAACAUACAAGACAUUCACAAUGGAGGGGAAUGAGGCGAAUCGAGGAGUGAAUUACCGGACCCUAGAUGGAUAAAGAAUUUCAGUUAGUGUAAUUGAAAUUUACAAUGAACAGACUAGGGAUUUGCUGGCUAUAGAAACAUCCAGGAAGUGAGUUUGUUGUUUCUCAUGCAAAAAUUAAACAGUUUUGAAAAUGUAGAUACAAAAUAAACUUAUUAGUUGUGCAAUAACUCUUGGAUUGGAGAUAAAACAAGCUUCUGAAGGAUCUCAUCUUAUACUUGGUAUUGUUGAAGCCAAAGUGGAAAAUAUUCAACAAUUUUGAAAUAUUCUACAAAGUAUGAAGUAGUGCUCUGGCUGGAGGAUCAAAUAAUGUGAACGAGCACAGAAGUCGCUCUCACUGGUAAUGGUUUUAGCAGCCUUGUAGAUUCUUUGUCGCCUGCUAUUUAUUAUACGACCCCACUCACUCUUUCUCUCUCUCUCUGGACAUGCUUUGUUUCACGGUAUGGAGCAAAACUCUGAUCACCGGAGAGUGCAUGAACAACUAACUUUGGCUUCUGGACUUAGCAGGAAGUGAGAGGCUUGUAAAAACUGAUGUACAAGGUGAGCGGCUUAAAGAAGCUCAAAACAUCAAUAGGUCACUCUAUGUAAUAGCUUCCUUAACAAAUAAAAGCAACCACAUAUCAUACAGGAACUCAAGGCUGACUCAUUUAUUGCAGGAUCUACAAAACCUUGAAAGCAAAGCAAAGGGAAGGAUCAGUUUUACAAAAUCAAUUGGAGAAAUUAAAAGAGUUAGAGGGCCAAGUAGAGUUGAAGCAGUCAGAGACACACAGGUUUAUGAAUUGAUUGUAAUAUUUCUUUGUGUGUAAAGUGUAGGUAUUUUUCCAUUGUCGUUCCUUAACUGAGAGCUCCACAACCAUUCGUGUUUUAUGAAUUGAUUGUAAUUUUUCUUUAUGUGUAAAGUGUGUUUUGGAGUUAGCA